CUUACCAUGCAGUCGAACGGCAGCGCGGGAGCAAUCCUGGCGGCGAGUGGCGAACGGGUGAGUAAUACAUCGGAACGUGUCCUGUAGUGGGGGAUAGCCCGGCGAAAGCCGGAUUAAUACCGCAUACGCUCUACGGAGGAAAGGGGGGGAUCUUAGGACCUCUCGCUACAGGGGCGGCCGAUGGCGGAUUAGCUAGUUGGUGGGGUAAAGGCCUACCAAGGCGACGAUCCGUAGCUGGUCUGAGAGGACGACCAGCCACACUGGGACUGAGACACGGCCCAGACUCCUACGGGAGGCAGCAGUGGGGAAUUUUGGACAAUGGGGGCAACCCUGAUCCAGCAAUGCCGCGUGUGUGAAGAAGGCCUUCGGGUUGUAAAGCACUUUUGUCCGGAAAGAAAUCAUCCUGGUUAAUACCUGGGGUGGAUGACGGUACCGGAAGAAUAAGCACCG
rnacentral:rRNA from 2 species